rnacentral:rRNA from 1 species
GACAGAAAGUGCGAGCGUUAUUCAUAAUUACUGGGCGUAAAGGGUAUGUAGGCGGAGCAAAAAAAUUUUGCUAAAAAUUCUGGAGAUCUAAUUUUAGAAGCAGGCUUUUAGAUUAUUGCUCUUGAGUUAAUAUCGGGUCGGAGGAACUUCCAGCGGAAAGGUAAAAUUUCGCCAUUCUGGAAGGAACGCCGAAGGCAAAGGCAUCCCUCUAGUGUUAACUGACGCUGAGGUACGGAAGCGUAGGGA